UUCAAAGUUGGAGGGUCUACCAAAAAUGUUACAUUAUCAAUUUUAGAAGUUUAAUUUGUUAGAAUAUUUUGAUGGUGAUUGAAAGUUCUGAUAAUUUGAAUAUAGGAUAUUUAAUAAAAAUAUCCUUAUAAAAAUCAUUAUAUGAAGAAAAGAAGUUUUAAUUUUUUUAAUUAAGAGGUAAAGAGAUGAAAGAGACACAGAAAAGAAAGAGCUCUCAUUCCCUUUGUUCACUCCCCAAGGGCCGCCAACAGACAGGCGAAAAAAACUAAGAUUUAGGAAAUCAAUCCAUGCCUCACAUUUGGAUAGAAGGAACCCAAUUGCUUGAGCCAUCACUGUUGGUCCCUGGGUCUAUAGAAGAUGGAAACUGCAGUCAAGAGUCAAAGCCAGGAUUCAAACGGAGGAUAUACAUAUAGCCACAUGAGAAGAAAGAAUAUAAAAUUGUAAUUCUUGGAAUGAUUUUUGAGAAAAAUGUUUGAAUAUCACUUACCUCUGAGGCAGUUCUUUUGGAAAUUAUAAAUAUAUUUCUUUCUGGGGACAAAAGAAUGCCCAUCAAAAUGAAAGAUGAAGCAUGGAAUCUGAAUUCACAGCUGCUUUAUGCAAUAUGGAAGAAGUGCAGGGUUUCUCAUUUCAGUUUUCUUCUCAAAGAUUUAUAGAUAGAAGCCUAAAAUGAUAUAUUUAAAUUCUUUUAUAUUCUCUUGUCUGGCUGUGUAAAUGAUUGCAAUCAAUCAGGUUUUUUUUUUUUUUUUUGUUCAAGAAGAACCUUGAAAUGACAAUAUGAAAAUUUUUCACAUGUAAUUUCAGUUAUACAGUGGGAAAUGACUGACAGCUUAGCAGUGUCUCACUGUGGCAAGAAUAUGAUGGUAUUUUUGAGCAAAUAGUUUUACUUAAGAAAAGUAAAGUUACAAUAAGUUGACUUUUUAAA